rnacentral:misc_RNA from 1 species
AAAGAUAAUCAUAGAUGUUGCCAAGGUAAAGAGUGAUCGUCGGCGCGAUGGUUGUAGUGGUCCUGCAAAUACAGAUAAAGAAAAAAACAGGUUGCAAUCAGGUUCAUUAUAGUGUAAUAGAAUUGGUGAAUAUACAAAACACAGGCUAAGAAGAAAAAAAAUGAAUUUUAAGAUCAUCCUUGCCAUAGAUCCCCUUGAUAAAUAGUAAAAUAACCUAUCAAGUUGGGACAUAAUUAAAUCCUCUGAUGACCAAAAAGGAUAACAAGCAAUCUGUCAGCUGUGGCCCAUCAAAAGCAUGUCAAGCAAUUUGUUUCUCCUGAUGAUCUCUAGUUUACAACUAUUAUAACAACUCACCUGCAUUAUGAUUCUCCAACUUGAUCUUUCAGUGCAAAUACUACCUCACGAGUCAAGAGUUCUCAUGCUUAUUUUAUAUGAUCACCCUUGCCCAUUAAAGCAUCUCAAACAUUUUCCUUGCAUUAUAGUGAUCUAAUUUACCACUAGUAUUACAACUUGGAGGUAAAAGCAAUUCACACAGCUACUUCACCAUCAAUAUGAUUAUUCAACUUGAUCCUUUAAGUUAUUACUACAAUAAAAAGUUUACCUGAUCAUUUUCUAUUCACUACACACUAGUGAUUGUUUACUGGUAGGUGUACAGUUUGAAGGUACUCAAUCGUCAACUCUCUACUGCAUUACCAUUUUCAUGGAGCAAUAGAGUUUAAAAGGUUCAGACAAUUAGAUAGACUACAUAGUUAACAGUAGGUUCAAUUGAAAACAUUGGAUGCAGAAAAAGA